rnacentral:rRNA from 1 species
GAUGAACGCUAGCGGGAGGCCUAAUACAUGCAAGUCGAGCGAGAAGGUUUUCUUCGGAGAACUGGAAAGCGGCGCACGGGUGAGUAACGCGUACGCAAUCUACCUUAUACAAAGGGAUAGCCCUGGGAAACUGGGAUUAAUACCUUAUAGUCUUGAACAACGCCUGUUGUUCUAAGUAAAGCUCCGGCGGUAUAAGAUGAGCGUGCGUGCUAUUAGCUAGUUGGUGAGGUAACGGCUCACCAAGGCGAUGAUAGCUAGGGGGCGUGAGAGCGUGAUCCCCCACACGGGUACUGAGACACGGACCCGACUCCUACGGGAGGCAGCAGUAAGGAAUAUUGGGCAAUGGAGGCAACUCUGACCCAGCCAUCCCGCGUGCAGGAUGACGGCGCUACGCGUUGUAAACUGCUUUUGUACGAGAUGAAACCCUGGGAUUUAUCCUGGGCUGACGUUAUCGUAAGAAUAAGCACCGGCUAACUCCG